GCCGGCUGUAGCUCAGCAGUUACUUCUUCCUUCAGUUUUUUAACAAAUCCUUAUGGGUUUGAAUCCCACGGGCGCUAUCUGUUUA